rnacentral:lncRNA from 1 species
CGGCGGGAGCUGUACGGCUCCUUACCAUGGUGAGUUGGCCGUGGGGUGUGCGGGAUUCUUGCGGGAUGUUUCCCUCCUGCUUCCUCGCUCGAGCGCCCUGCUGUACCGCAGCUGCUCGGAACCGCGUGGUCGGGCCUGCGCUGGGGUUCCCAGCGCUCGGGUUCUUGAAGGGUUCCUGCUCUGUGCCUCUACAGCUGGGAAAUGCCAGAUUUGCCUAAUGUUAAAAUUAAAGCUUCCUCUGAGAACAAGUGAACGCCAUCAGCGACUUGAGGCUUGCGUGGGGCUUUCUAGGGCGUGUUCACUCGUUUGCUUUUCAGUGUUUGAAUAGCUCGGCACUGAGCAGCGGCUACAGAAAGGGUUAGUGGAGCAGCUCGGGAAAGGUUCUAGUAUACGCUAUGGUUGUUGGAAUGUCAGGUUUUUCCUAAAAAUUAUUGAGUUAAUUAUUAAGCUGAGUGUUUUGGCACAUGCCUUUGGCCUACAACUCAGGAAACUGAGGCAGGAGGAUUGCACUUCGAAGUUCACCCUGAGUUAAAUAGAGACUCUGACCC